rnacentral:rRNA from 1 species
GCACAAGCGGUGGAGCAUGUGGUUUAAUUCGAAGCAACGCGAAGAACCUUACCAGGUCUUGACAUCCCCUGACAACCCGAGAGAUCGGGCGUUCCCCCUUCGGGGGACAGGGUGACAGGUGGUGCAUGGUUGUCGUCAGCUCGUGUCGUGAGAUGUUGGGUUAAGUCCCGCAGCGAGCGCAACCCCUAUCUCUAGUUGCCAGCGAUUCGGUCGGGGACUCUAGAGAUACUGCCCCGGUUAACGGGAGGAAGGUGGGGAUGACGUCAAGUCCUCAUGGCCCUUAUGCCCAGGGCUACACACGUGCUACAAUGGGCGGUACAAAGGGUAGCGAUGCCGCGAGGUGAAGCCAAUCCCAAAAAGCCGUCCACAGUUCGGAUUGGAGUCUGCAACUCGACUCCAUGAAGCCGGAAUCGCUAGUAAUCGUGGAUCAGCAUGCCACGGUGAAUACGUUCCCGGGCCUU